AGAGUAGUAAAGGAAAGCAAAUCCUUGCGUCUCAGGCCUGGAGAGCAGAGGAGGGGGUGAGAGCGGGGUCUGGGGCAGGGACCGGCCUCACGGUAGCUGUAGAGCCCUCGGGCAGGGAGGAAGGAGGGUCCCAGGGAUACUGACCAGAGGGACAGUGGGCCUUAAGCCUGUAGGCCUCUGACCCACACUCUCCCCUGCAGGGAGCCGAGUGCCAUCCAUCGAGAGCAUCCUGGACGGCAGCCCUGAGCCCUGCAGCCGCAGCCAGCCCCGCCUGCCAGCCGACCUCUACCUACCAGCCCUGGGGCCUGACUCCUGUUCUGUCGGUAUAGAGGAGUAAGCUGGAUGGCCCACCUCCGUGGAGACGCCCCGCAGCCUCCAUACCACUGGCCCGCCCCGGCCUGUGCUGGGUGGCCCCAGUCCUGACCCU